rnacentral:rRNA from 1 species
UACGUAGGCAGCAAGCGUUGUUCGGAGUUAUUGGGCGUAAAGGGUGCGUAGGCGGCUUUUUAAGUUUGGUGUGAAAUCUCCCGGCUCAACUGGGAGGGUGCGCCGAAUACUGAGAGGCUAGAGUGUGGGAGAGGAAAGUGGAAUUCCUGGUGUAGCGGUGAAAUGCGUAGAUAUCAGGAGGAACACCGGUGGUGUAGACGGCUUUCUGGACCAUAACUGACGCUGAGGCGCGAAAGCGUGGGUAGCAAACAGG